CAGAGGGUAGUUUAAAAAAAACACCGGUUUUGGGGACCGGAUAUGGGGCCCCGGGCCCCCCCUUUGA
rnacentral:tRNA from 1 species